AGCGAACCGGGAAGAGCUCAAAUUUGUAAUCUGGCGCCCCUCGGGCUCAGAGUUGUAAUCUACAGAGGCGUUUUCCGUGCCGGCCCGUGCCCAACUUUGCUUGGAACAGUGAGAUCAAAGAGGGUGAAAAUCCCGUACUUGACACGACCGCCGGUGCUAUGUGAUACGUCUUCUAAGAGUCGAGUUGUUUGGGAAUGCAGCUCAAAACGGGUGGUAAAUUCCAUCUAAGGCUAAAUAUUGGCGAGAGACCGAUAGCGAACAAGUACCGUGAGGGAAAGAUGAAAAGCACUUUGGAAAGAGAGUUAAACAGCACGUGAAAUUGUUGAAAGGGAAACGAUUGAAGUCAGYCGUGUCCGAGGGGUUCAGCCGGUCCUGCCGGUGCAUUCCUCUCGGACGGGUCAACAUCGGUUUUGUCCGGCGGACAAGGGCAUGGGGAAAGUGGCACCUUCGGGUGUGUUAUAGCCCCGUGUCGCAUACGUCGGACGAGACCGAGGAACGCAGCUCGCCUCACGGCCGGGUUCGCCCACGUACGAGCUUAGG
rnacentral:rRNA from 1 species